AUAUCUCUCCGUACGGGAAGGAUGAGAAGCUUCGACUAAGGUUCGAUUCGAGCGCAGCGAGAAAGCGUUGCCAACGGCAACGACCCGAAGGGCGAAGCGCGCAGCGCUGAGUAAUCCUUCCCCCACCACCA
rnacentral:sRNA from 3 species